AGAUUGAACGCUGGCGGCAUGCCUUACACAUGCAAGUCGAACGGUAGAGUAGCAAUACUUGAGAGUGGCGAACGGGUGAGUAAUAUAUCGGAACGUGCCCAGUCGUGGGGGAUAACGUAGAGAAAUUUACGCUAAUACCGCAUACGAUCUAAGGAUGAAAGCGGGGGACCGUAAGGCCUCGCGCGAUUGGAGCGGCUGAUAUCAGAUUAGGUGUUGGUGAGGUAAAGCUCACCAAGCCGACGAUCUGUAGCUGGUUUGAGAGAACGACCAGCCACACUGGACUGAGACACGGCCAGACUCCUACGGGAGGCAGCGAGUGGGGAAUUUGGACAAUGGGACGAAAGCCUGAUCCAGCAAUCGCCGCGUGACGAGGAAGAAGGCCGUUACGGGUUAGUAAACUGUCUUUGGUAACGGAAGAACGGUCU
rnacentral:rRNA from 1 species